GGGCUCGAUUCCAGCACACACACUAACACCGGAAGGAUCCAGAGAAGACCGCAUGGCGCCUGCACAAGGAGACACGCAAAUCUGUGAAGUGCCCCAUAGUUUU